UAUGUAGUAAAAGCAAGUUGAAAUGAUUUUUAGUCUUCCAUUAUUAUCUAGAUGAUAGAAAUGUGUGGCCUUUCGAAGCAGAAUUAUCAUAGAACAGUAAGAUUCAGUACUAGGUACUUGAGGUUUACACAAGGAUUUAACCCAGCGCCGCCCCUAUACCUUCUGUCUAGCCCUAGCGUAUUCUUAGAUUAAGAGUUCCAAAGUGCCAUUAAAAUCCAUGGAUAUUGGGCACCCAUAUCCUGCAGGUGUCUUUAAAAAUCUCUGUCUGCAGCAGGAUCAUACCACAUCAUCCAUAACUUCUCAGUACGGGUUGCAAUGAGGAGGAAAAAGCCCUGGGGUUAUCCUGGAAGGGUGGGGACGAUCUAUUGGGCAUACCUAGGUCCUGACUUUCAGGGGUGCUGAGCACCCACAAUCCACAAGAGAAGUCAGAGGGAGCUGUGGUCACGGAGCACUUCCGAAACAUUCUCCCAAUAAAACCCCAUGUGUUUUCAUGGAGAGCCAAAGUCACCCCAGCUCUAACACCAUUGAUUGCUCCAUUUGGGCUAGGGAAGGAAGGAGGGGCCAGUGCCGAGAAAACGAGCUGAGUUUAGUUCCUGCGUCAUCUGCAGUCACCUUGCGUGGCCUUGGGCAGAUCUCUUAAUCAUCCCUGAGCCUUACUUUCCCCAUCUAUAAAACACAGAUAACAUUUCCCUACCUCACAGAAAAGUUGUUAAGAUAAAAUCCAUUGAUGAUUGCUGGGCACUCAUAUGUUACAGUGAUGAGGGUCACAUAAAUACCUAGAGAGUAGCCUCAGACAUAGGUUUUCAAACUGGGGGUUGCAAAUAUUAUUUAUUAUUUGUGUUUCCAUGGCAUCUAGGAGCCCUAGUCACAGACCAGGGCCCCAUUGUGCUAGGCACUGGACAAACACAGGGUAAAAAGACGGCCCCGACCCCAAGGUCCUUGCAAUCUAAGGAAGGGUUUCAGGGGGCCGUUGCUAGUCUCCUUUCCUUUCUAUGAAGAGACCCCUGGAACUUUUUUCUGCUGUGACAUGGAAAAGGUUGACACCUGCUGGCCUGGGAUCCAAAAGGCACCGUGGUAAGUGGAUCUAUUUUGGAACUGGCCCAGCAACACCCCCCCCCACCUCUUGCUCUUUCCUCCACUGUACGUUGCUGUCAGGGACCGGGAGAUGAUGUUCUGUUUAUUCUUCAAGGGAAUUUGUACUGCUAAAAUGUACCUGAAAACCGUUACCAUGGGCGGCGGGUAUAAUAGGCCAGGGUUACCCUCAGUUCCUGGGUCCAGGCCAGCCAAGAAUGCUAUUAUGAGAAACCUUUCAUAAAAAGUGCUGAAAUUGUUGCAUUCCUCAUCAUUUGCUCGUAUCUCGGUGUCCAGUGUUUCAACGCACAGGAGAGAAACCUUAGUGCCCCCUCCUUGUUCUUUUUAUACUUGUCAGCUCAGUCCUCCUCCUUUCUCUAAUGCUGGCAGCACAGGUGGGGCUGCAGGCAUUUGCGAACCAUCAGGGUGUCUCACCCCACUCAGAGCUGUGUGCAAAACCCCUGAGUCUUGUCUCUGCUGAAUGGAGAGGAAGGAUGGUCUUAUGGUUAAGGCGUUGGGCUGGGACUGAGAUCCGAAUUCAUUUUCCAGCUCUGUAGGCCCUUGAGCAAGUCACUUUAAUCUCAUCAUGCCUCAGUUUCCCAUCUGUAAAUGGGAUGAUAAUUCUCUGUCUUUUCUAUUCAAACUGUAAGCUCUUGAGGGCAGGAGACUGUAUGACGCUGUGUCUGGGCAGUGCCUGGCACAAUGGGUCCUUGUUUUCAACUGAAGCUUCAACCAUAAUAUAAAUAAUUUCCCAGGCCAAAAAAAAGGCACUUCCCCACCCCAAGGGCCUUUCCCCCCACAGCAUUUCAAAGGCCUGCUGCAAACCAUGGAGGUGCGAGAGUUUCUCAAAAAAAGGUUGCAAGAAUCUUUUAUCAUGAAAAGCGUGAAGCAACUUAAAUACAGAGGUCACGACCAGUUCCCCCAUAUUAAUUAUAGAGAAGUUCCCCCGUGGACCAUCUCUCAAAGAGUUUGCUCUCCAAAAAUGUUUGUGGCUAGUAUUUUCAAAGGAGUCUAAGGGAGUUAGGUGCUCAGAUCCUAUUGCAAGCCAAUAGGAGUUGGGCCCCUAACUCCUGAAGGAGGUGAAUUUAGGACCCAAGCCUACAGAAGUACCAUUCUUCCUCCUGCCAGGGUGUACAUGGCAAUGCUGGCUGUUAACAUUGGCCUGCCCGAUCAGAGGGGAAAGAACAUACCACUUUGCAACAGGGAGCUUGUUUGUGCUAUGGAACGAGUGAGUCAUGGUCCAAAGAGAUGGCGAGAUAGCGUCUCCAGGAGGGUGCCCCGCCCUGGGAAAUCAGAGCAGUAGCUGUGUGAUCCAAGUAGGGGGAAAUGCAGCUGCCCUGCUAUUAAAAUCCCACAAGAGGUACAGGAGCGACCAGGACUCCUUUCUGCCGAAGACAAACAGUGGCCAAUCAAAGUGUCAGCUGGACUCAUUUGUUUCAAUCAGAUACCAGGUUAGCAAGAGAUUUUACAAGAAAAGGAAUCGUUUCUAUUCACUAGUUAGCAUAGCCAGGUGGGAAAAGGUACAUUCUCCUUCGCUAUCCUGCUAGUUGCUGAGCGCCCUCAACUCCUGGGGCAGUGCGUGGGAGCCAAGGGGCCUCAGCACCCUGCAGGUUUGAGCCCAUAGGCAGGAGAGGAAGAAAAAGAAGUGAUUCCCAUCAGGGCUAUUUAGACAUUAGCCCAUCUGAGCACCAACCCACUCAUGACAGGUAUUGCCGAGAGUCCCUGGAGUAGGCUAACCACACUCACCAUUCUUCUGUAAAUAGCAAUUCCACCUGCUCUUACUCUGAGCUGACACAUGUUGUACAGUAAGAGAUCCUGGAAUUGCUGUUAUCCAUGGUGUUAGUGGCCGCAGUCCAGUGAGUGACAUAAGCCACUCCCAAGGCUAAGCAGACACCUUGGACCUCUGCUAGGGCUGUGCAUAGCAGCAGCUGUGUAUCUAGCAGGGGGAACAUCUCCCCCUAUGGGCUGUAAGUAAUAUAGGCAAAAAGAAAAGGAGGACUUGUGGCACCUUAGAGAUUAACAACUCCUUUUUUUUUGCGAAUACAGACUAUCACAGCUGCUACUCUGAAAGUAAUAUAGGGUAUCUCUUCUCUUACACCCUGUCCUUGUAUUUAUGAGAGCCGGCUGACUUUUUUUUUUUUUUGUCAAUUUUGAUGAUGUUUUGUUUAAAAACACUUUCUGAGGCUUUGAAAAUGUGAAAACUUCCUGUUUUGACUAUUUCAGAAUGGACAGCUUAUGUUUUUCAUUUUGAAAUGACUUUCUGGUUUGAAAUGUACUUUAUUUUAUAUAAAAAUGAUGUAAAAUGUAGUUGAAGUCAAAAUGAAACCUUGCAAUUGACUGAAAAUGGGGAAAAAAACAGAAUGUGGUUCUCUGGAAAAUGUAUAUAUUUUGGGGGGUUUUUGUCCCAUUCUGGAGGGGUGGGGGUGGAAAUCAAACUCUUGACAUAAUUCACGGGUUGGAAAAUCUGUUUUGUGACCAACUCUAGACUUUACACUGUGGAGACAAAAAGAAAAGGAGUACUUGUGGCACCUUAGAGACUAACACCUUCCUGCUGGUAAUAGCUCAUCUUAAGUGAUCACUCUCCUUACAGUGUGUAUGAUAAAACCCAUUGUUUCAUGUUCUCUGUGUGCCACAAGUACUCCUUUUCUUUUUGCGAAUACAAACUAACACGGCUGCUACUCUGAAAACUGUGGAGACAAUGUACUAUUGGGACGGAGGGCUGUGGAGAGCAGUGGGAAGCGAUCAUUGUGAUUUCCAGGCUGAAUUUCUUGCUGUGGCCACAUAGACAGAAGAGUAAUUUCUGUCAUGUGCCCAGAUCGGACCAUCAGUUCACAAAGACAACAAAGAAAAAUCUGUUGUAUCCAAUCUAUAGUGCAAUGCUGUGUGCGGUUGGAUUUUUUAAAAAAACUUUUUAUUAAGGCAAAGUUACAAUAAAAGGUGAACAUACGAUGUUGUACGUUACUUAUUACUUAUUCGGGAGCAGGUUAAUAGUCAAGGAACAUGGCUAAAAAUUCUGAGUAUUGCUGAAAAGGGUGCCCAAACUUCUAGAUACCGAUCCUCUUUUUGGCGUUUCUCUUGUGUACAUACUUGGUGUCAGAGUAGCAGCCGUGUUAGUCUGUAUUCGCAAAAAGAAAAGGAGUACUUGUGGCACCUUAGAGACUAACAAAUUUAUUAGAGCAUAAGCUUUCGUGAGCUACAGCUCACUUCAUCGGAUGCAUUACUUGGUGUGAAAGCUUUUCCAUUACAAGGACAAUGGUAUUUUUCUUCUUAACGCCCUGCAGGUGUUCAUCUGUUCUUACUAGCCCUACUAUAAUUGGCUGGCUUGUGUACCGCUGCCCUCUACUGGAUGGGAUCAGAACUGCACAACUGCAUGUCAGCGUAGGCCCUCUGCUAUAAACAGCUGACAAAGGCUCUCUGUUGGCGUGAACGACCGCGGUCUCUGAUUUUGUGGCAGAAGGAGCUGAGCCCUCUCAUUGCUGUGACUCUGAAGUUGCAAACAGCCUUGUUGUACAGCACAGCCACAAGUGCAAAACUGGUCGGUGGUCGCAGAGUUGAUGUAAUUGUUCUCACUUUUAAAGAGUCUUUAUUUUUUACAUAAAUAACUGCUUUUCUGUUUUGUUUGGUGGCUUUGGUUUUUGUGCUGCUUGAAAUAUGAAACAGUAAGUACUUCUUUAACAGAGGAAACAAGUCAAAAAUUUGCUCCAAUCAUGGCCAAGCAGACAAAGAUUUUGGUGGCAUGUUUCUAUCCGAAAGUACAUUAGAGCACUGUAAAGUGUUAUACGUCCAGCUCUGGAUUCAGACCAGAUCCUGGGGUAAUUUCUUGCACCGGGCUCCCACUGACAUCAGUGAUUAUCUUAUGACUAUUACAAACGCAAGCUAUUGGCCGAAACUGGUCAGGAUGCUCACAUGCCGUCUGUGUUGUGAUGAGCAAAAGGUGGCAUCAGCAAUUAAAUGAACUGCACAUUUCUUUGUAGAUGUGAUGGACCAUUUAUUUCCUUCCAGGAGAAAUAACCCAAACGGUUGGCAGAAAUGUGAAACGUACUGAGCACUGGGUAUGGUUGGAAACAGCUGAAUAACAAAGUCAGGGAGGAUAUAAGAUAGAAUGAUAUAAAUCAGAGAUGGAAAAGACCAGUUAGAUGAGGAUUUCCCAACCUUUUUGGGUUGGCAGUGUCUUACUAGAAGUCAAAAAUUGUAAUGAUUCCCCCCCACUCUUACAUUUACAAUAAAAGGAAGGGUAAAAAAUGUAUCCGUUAUAACAAUGCUAAGCCUAUGUAAUAUAACUGCUACUACAUUUAGCCUGCUAAAUUUUGAAAGUUAUUCUGGAAAUUUUAUUUGCUUUGCUUUGCACUUGCACUAAAAUUGUCAAUGUCUCAUUUGCACCAAUUGCUUUCCAUGACCCCAUACACCCCCUCGGGAGUCAUGACCCACCGAUUAAAAACACUGAUUUACAUUAUCAACUGCAUUUCCCGGUCAGGGCAGGACUGGUUCCUACCAAGCAUGUUCGGUUGUCUUGUAAAGUCUAGUUAUCUCCUUUGAUGGAGCUCCCGUUCCUUCAUCAGAGCUUUUCUCCACUCAGGAACAGCCCUGCUCCAGCAAUUGGUGGCUAGCCAUUGGUGUAGCUGCACUAAUGCUCACUCCUAGGUGCAGAGAAGCACAAAGUGGGGUUCACACCAAUUAAGUGAAGGCCUGAGUGAAGGCUGCAGGAUUGAGGUUCAGUCAUUGCCACAAAUGACCACAAACAAUUGCUGUCCGUCCAUAUACCUCAUUUCUGAGUUCUCCUCUGCUCACACAAAUAAAAUCUGCCUUGAAAUUAUCUUUGUCUAGAUCACAAAAGGUUAAUGGUCCAGCAAGCACAAAUAAACAUACCAGGGUCCUUAUCUACACCAGCAAAUAUGCAUCCAUAUAAACAUCAAUGCAAGUUUCAAGACAGAGAUUCAAAAGGUGUUUAGGGACAAUCAGCGACACACCUGUUGUUUGCAGUGUCGUUGUGGCCGUGUCGGUCCCAGGAUAUUAGCGAGACAAGGUGGAUGAGGUAAUAUUUAUUGGACCAACUUCUGUUGGUGCGAGAGACAAGCUUUCAAGCCUACACAGAACUCUUCCUUGAGUGUGGGAAAGGUACUCAGGGUGUCACAGCUAAAUACAAAGUGGAACAGAUUCUCUAGCAUAAGCAGGUAGCACAUGUUGCAAGAGACCAUUCAAGGGUGGGCCGUUAACACCUCUGCGAUCAUAGGACACAGGAAGGUUAGUGGGUUACAGAUUGGUGUAAUGACUCAUAAAUCCAGCGCCUUUAUUGAAUCCAUGAUUUCUGGUAUCUAGCAAAGUUAUGAAUUUAAGCUCCCAGGCUCGUCUUUUCAUGGUAUUGCGCUUUGAGGACGAAGAUAAGAGGUCAGAUGUGGGGUGGUCAUUCUGUGAAAAGUGUUUGCUCGUAGGUAAUAGGUGUUUUUCUCUUCUCAUUUUUCUGUGUGAGUUCACUUGAGAGCAUUGUGAUUGUCUGGUUUCAUCCAUAUAGUUGUUCUGGGGGCAUUUAGUGCCUUACCCCACGUGUUGCGAUAGAAAGGUGUAGGACCCAUGGAUCUUGAAAGUUGUGUUGUAUAAUCUUCACAGUGGAGCUAUGUCUGCAGGGAGUUUGCUUCUGGGAGCUUACUCCUUGGCAAGUUUGGGGGAGUUUGAAAGCCAGAAAUGGGGUUCAGGAAAUGUUCCUUUCAGGAGCCAAUGGGAGCUGUGGGGGUGGCACUUGCGGGCAGCAGCACGCGGAGACCCUCUGCACUGCUCCAACCUAGGAGCCACUGCUGGGUGGGAGUGUGCUGGUCGCUUUGGGAGCCAUGCCACCUGAGCAGCUGCAAGCCUGAAGCAAUUCAGCUGUGGAAACGCAAGACUAUUCCUGCUGGAUGCUUGAGGAAUAAAGGGGGUGUUCUGCGGAUCAGUACGUUACAGAUUGUGAUGUGCUCCGAUAAGCAACAUAGGUAUGUCUACAUUGCUCCCCACUCACGGCGAUGUGUAGAGUACGGGCUGCUACCUGCCACAGUGAAAAGUAGGCUACAUCCACACUGCGGUGCGUACCUGCAGCGGGGAAAGGCUCUGGCAGUGGAAAGCCGCUGGAGCCUUUCCCUGCUGCCAAAGUCUUUAAUUGCAGCAGGGAAGGUCUCCAGCAGCUCUCUGCUGCAGGAGCCUUCCCUUGACCCGAGAA